UACGAAGGGUGCAAGCGUUAAUCGGAAUUACUGGGCGUAAAGGGUGCGUAGGCGGUUCGUUAAGUCUGUCGUGAAAUCCCCGGGCUCAACCUGGGAAUGGCGAUGGAUACUGGCGAGCUAGAGUGUGUCAGAGGAUGGUGGAAUUCCCGGUGUAGCGGUGAAAUGCGCAGAUAUCAGGAAGAACACCCGUGGCGAAAGCGGCUCUCUGGAACGGUACUGACGCUGAGACGCGAAAGCGUGGGGAGCGAACAGG
rnacentral:rRNA from 1 species